GGGCCCGCACAAGCGGUGGAGUAUGUGGUUUAAUUCGAUGCAACGCGAAGAACCUUACCAGGGUUUGACAUCCUGCGAACCUCUUAGAAAUUUGAGGGUGCCUUCGGGAAUGCAGUGACAGGUGGUGCAUGGCUGUCGUCAGCUCGUGUCGUGAGAUGUUGGGUUAAGUCCCGCAACGAGCGCAACCCACGUUUUUAGUUGCCAGCAUUUAGUUGGGCACUCUAGAGAGACCGCCGGUGAUAAACCGGAGGAAGGUGUGGAUGACGUCAAGUCAUCAUGCCCCUUACAUCCUGGGCUACACACGUACUACAAUGGUAGGUACAGAGGGCAGCUACACAGCGAUGUGAUGCGAAUCUCAAAAAGCCUAUCGUAGUCCAGAUUGGAGUCUGCAACUCGACUCCAUGAAGUAGGAAUCGCUAGUAAUCG
rnacentral:rRNA from 1 species